UUUGUCAGGAAAUGUGAUCACAGUGAGACGUUUCAGUGUCAAGUGCUAUUUGAUCUAAGUGGAAGUUAUAUACUAGACUUUCUAAUGUACAGUUCUGUGAGCUGAUGAUUAUGCCAGAUCAACCAAGGAAUUAAUUCUUGACCCAUAUCUUGGUGGUUGACAACUGAUAUGAUAUUGAGGACUCAAGGCAGUAAGAAUUUAGUAAAUGGGGUUUUAAUUAAUGGGUUUGCAUUUGGUGUUCAUACUUUGUGAUAUUCUGGUUUCUUUGUGUAUCUUGUUAGCUGGUGGCAUGCUUUGAUCGUCCUAGUAGUUAGCAAUGUUGAUGAUUUCCUGCUUAGUUCAGGAAAGGUUGUGUGUGUGUGUGUGUGUGUGUAUGUAUAUUCUGUUGAAUUUCACAGUUUUGCAAUGGAUGGGUAGGACAUGGACCUUCACUGCCUUGUUAUCCAAUGUCAUGUUGCUUCAUCUCCCUACAGGUCUCAAUGAGGAAGUGCUACCAGUGCCCUGUGCUGUGGGAGUGGGGAGGGUUCACAGCUGUGGCUUGGAAAAACUCCCGACCUGGUCCUUUCAUGAGGCCUCUCACAAGUGUAAUAGGGUACUUAAGCUGUUGUAUAGGAUGUAAUAAGAGACUUUGUUCUUUUCCGAUGAGUCCAGAAAAAUCAGAGAGUUAAAGUUCCUACAAGCGCUGAACCUGUAGCUAAUUAACUGAGAGCUGUACUGGAGUUCUUCCUGGAGAACUGAAGGAGAGACUAGCCAUAGAGGUUGCAAGUGCUCUGAAGCUGAACAUCCUCAGAUUAGUUCACACUGUUUCUAACAGAAAUUUUGAUUGGGAAGUGUCUGUGAGAUUGCAGUGUAUUGGUCCAUCUUCUACACAGUUACAUUUUUUUUUCUCUUUGUUUUUGUUAACAAGCAGCUGUGGUGGAAGCUGUUUGGCAUGUAGGCACAAAAAACCCCAAACCAACAAACCACCAAAGCCAGUACCGUCUCAACAGAGGAUCCAUUCUGGCUGAGCACAUUAAGAAACCUUAGUUUGGUGUUACCAGGUGGUAUAAAUAGUUUUCUGAGAGCAAGGCAUGUUCUUAUUCCCCCUUUUCUUGCUAACUGGCUUUCUCUUAGACUUCCAUGAUUCUCAGUGGAAAGGUAACCCAAGCACAUUUAACUUGAAAUUGUUACAGAAUAUGUGGAUUGCAUGGAUUUUACAAAGUGAUGUGGAUCGCAGAGCUGUGCAGUUCUUUGCAUUUCCAGCAUCACACUUAGUUUGCAGAAUUUGUUUAAGGAUGAAUUCUCUCCCUCUCCCAUGCCCCUUCCCAGUCUUUUGUCUGCUGAACUACACACUUAAAGUGUUCUCUGUGGUAUUUGCCCUCCAGUAACAAACUGGUGGCACUUCUGUACUGCAGUGAACUGUUCCAGAACUCAUGCUGCUGAGCUAACUGUUCAUUAAUGUGUGUGUUCUAUAGAUAGCAUUUGCUGUGUUUAGUAAGUUUUAGAAAGUGUAACAGAGGCGUGUUUUAGAUGUCUGGAGGGUGUUUUCUCAGGGAAUGAAUAUAAUAGAGGAUGUGAAGCAUAUGAGUGGGGCAAGCUGGCUACCUGGAGGUUAGCCGUGUAGUGAGGUCUGCUUCCGUAUCCAAGCACAGCUUAGUGCGUCAUCAUGUGCCAAUCGCUUCCUUUUGUUUUAGUGCUGCAUCGGUGUGAUUGUUGCCUUCUUGAUUGCUUGUGGGAUGGUGGUUUAGAAGCUCAGCUCUGUCUGGUGUGAGAGAGAACAGGGUAGUUGGUGUCAUCUGAUCCAGUUCAUGGAUUAGUGCGACAACCCUGAGUGUGCAAGGCUGGGCGUCACUGCUCUAGAAUACCUGUCUGGAGAGCUAAACUGCAGUUGUUUGGUUGUGGUUGAAAAAGCCAUUAUAUUUGCAGUCUGUUUCUCUGCUCACCUCACUCUCUUCAUUUCAAAAAGAUGCUUCUCUUUCCUUGGUGCUGUCCAAGCAUGUAAAAGCAUCAUGUGUGAAACAGUGAGACUUAACACACUUCUGAUAGCAGUCAGCACUCUGAAAUUCUAAAUGGCCUUGUGACCUGGUCACUGAUCCCUGCUUUGUAACCGGCAGCUGCCAUGGGUGCAGAAGGCACUUGGGUAGUUCAGGAUUCUUUUCAAGGUGAGGAAACAUGAGGAUUGUUACAUGCAGCGAGGCACUGAGGUCCAGUGCAAGGCUAUUUGCAUGUUUGUGCUUGCCAGGAGUGCACUUGAACGGCACCUAACAGGCAUUGCCUGGCUUGUAUUUUCCCAGGAGUGCUUAUAGGUAGGUCGAAGAAAGAAGAAUGAUGCAGAGUGAAAAGAUAAUUUCUCUUCUGAAGCUCUUAAUUUCCUCUGGAGCUCAGUGACAGCUGCCGUUUGCAUGUGCACUAGGAGGUGUGGGGCAUAUUAGUGAGGCUGUGGUGCAGAAGGUAUUGCAAGAUGCUGCAGACCACAGAGGAAUUCUGCCUCUGUUCUGGUUUUGUGUGCUUUGUCUGCUUGGUCUGUACCAUUUUAGGGUGGUGAUUAUGGUGGACUCCAUUUCCUAUCUAGCUAAGCAAAACCCAGUUAUUUUGCAGAGACUUGAAUCUCCUGAACAAUAACUAAAGUCUGCACUGAGCUGUCUUGAGAAAUGCAGAGAAACAAUGCAGCAGUGUCAGGGGCUUCAGCAUGUCCUCUCAGCUUCACAAUCCUAUAGCAAGGGGAGAGAGCUGAAGUAAUCAGUAAUUCUGUGGUGAGCCAUCUCACUUUGAGCUGCUUGUGGCAGUAUUUAGUAAUGCUGUUGUUAGAUAUGCAGGAUCUCCUGACUCAUCCAUGGCUAGAGGUGCCUUUCUCAGUACCCAGACUUUGAUGUGCCAUUGAUGUUUCAUUUUGAGGUGUAACAUAAGGGAAUAUGUCCAGGAUCUUAAAACAGUUUUCUACCAGGCUGGUAUUCCUAGAGGUGAAGUGAGGGAGUUUGGCAGUGACCUUCUCUUGCCUGCUUCUCCACAACAGGAGAGUAUUGUACCAUCGCCUCCAUCUAGCAAUGAGGCUGAUGUCUCCUGCACAUUUCUCUUCCCUGUGGUGUGUGGCCUGCACUCUUGGAGCUGAGGUUCACACUGGAUGCAGCCCUUGGUACUGCUGGUGUGUUUCUGACUAGCAACACCCAAGAGUGAGCUCAGCUUAGAGAUUUGGUGGUGACAGAGCCUUCAAGCAGGUCAGGGUCCAUCAAAUUGAAGAGAGGUUCUACUCAGUGUUUUCUCAUGUUGCAGAGUGGCAGAAGAGACCAGUUUGAAGUGAAACAUGGUGGAGGUUUGCAGUAAAGAACUGGAUGAAACUUCUUUUUCCCCUGUGCUUUGGCAGGUGGUGUGUUUUUGGCACUGCACUGCUCUCACUGUGCAGGCUGCGCUGGCCCAAGGAGUCUCUUACUUUUUCAUGGGAUGAUCCCUUUGCCCCAGUGCAGCCUGAUCUGUGCGAGGCUCUGUGCCCCGCAGCUCGCUAUGCCUGUGGAAGGGGAAUUAGGAACCGAACUGCUGUGGUUGACAGAGCCCGGUGGCUGAGGACACGACCACUUGCCAAGGUCUCCUGGCUGAGGACACGACCACUUGCCAGGGUCUCCUGGCUGAGCACGCAAUGCUGUGCGGGUUCCCCCGUCUGCGGGGUGAGAGCUGUGCGGGGCUGUGUCCUGAGGCUUUUGUUCAUGUGUGCAGGACUUCAGACUUAAUUUGUUUAGCAGCUAGUUGAUUUUGUUACUUAUAGAGACAUCACACCCUUUAAAAUGUAUGGUGGGAUGUUAUAGAGAAAUUUUUUAGGUGGUGAAAUACUUCAGGGAAAUUCUAUUUCCCUGACAAAACUUCUAAUAGUACUAGAGAAAGCAGCCUUCCAUUCUGAUCUGUGUCUGAAUAUCAAGUGUUACAAGAGCAUGCUUCACUGAGCUGAAGAGAAAUAAAACUUACAUAUGUAAAUUAGCUGGCUUUCUUAAACUGUGUGUUGAAUAAUUUUUUUGGCUUCUCUAAUUGAGGGGUAGAACAGAUGGUGCAGGCUUAGUUUAAAGUGGCAUCUAUUAGAGUUACUUAAGCUGAUGAAUGGUUUUUCACUGUAAGCAUGCAUUUCUUCUCUAUACCAUGUUUGGUUUUGGUUGAAAUUCAGUGGAAGAAAUCCUGAUUUAAGAAAUAAUUGUCAUGCAUGGUUAUGGGUUGAUAUGAUAAUUUGGUAAGUGUGUUUUGAUUAUUUAAUGCACAGGGGAAAAUAAGACUUCACCAUCUGGGGAAAUAAAAAAGAGACUUGUACAAGGUUUCCAAGCAGCUGUUGUUAUUAUAGCUGGCGAGUUUUGGGUUGCUGAGGGAUGCAUGAGGAUCAGUAACAUAUACAUUCAUUUAGCAGUUUCAUCCCUGAAAACCUCUUUACCUUGAAGUUGUAAGUGCUAAUAAAAAUGAAUUAAGUUAGUUUUAAUGCCCAAAAGAUAUGAGAAAUGGACAAUGAAGGAAGAGUGAUCUUGGUCUGGACAUGCGAGUAGAGCCUGUUCCUUGUGUAUGCCCAUAUUGCAAAAGCUAUCCUGUCAACUGACUCCUCUCAUGUGGGGAGAAUGGCUGUCUUAAGACUCAUUGGCCUUGAACUGCGUUUGCAGGGUAUGCUCAGUCCUUGAUUCUUUAGGCUCCUGUGCUGGCAGGCUCUUAAUAGGUGGGUUUUCCUGCCUUAAACUUAGAAAAGAGUGGAAUUUUGGCUCAGAGAUACCCAGUUUCCUGUAGGCAUUUAUAUUAAUUCCCAGUCCAGCUGAUUAUUUUUUUUCCUGUGGCUCUAGUGGCUGGGCAUGCCUUUCCAACACUUACCACCCUGUAUGGCAACUUGAUUGGAUUGUGGUGCAGCUCUUACCUAUUUGGUGUCAGCAAUAUGGGGAGCUGUGGUUUAACCCCAGCUGGCAACAAAGCACCACACAGCCGCUCGCUCACACCCCCACAGUGGGAUGGGGGGGAGAAUUGGAAGGGUAAAAAUGAGAAAAACUCUUGGAUUGAGUUAAAGGCAGUUUCAUAGGUAAAGCAAAAGCCAUGCAAACAAAGCAAAACAAGGAAUUAAUUCACCACUUCCCGUGGGCAGGCAGGUGUUCAGCCAUCUCCAGGAAAGCUGGGCUCCAUCGCGCAUAAUGGUUACUGGAGAAGACAAACGCCAUCACUUUGAAUGUCCCCUCCUUCCUCCUUCUUCCCCCAGCUUUAUAUGCUGAGUGUGACACCAUAUGGUGUGGAACAGCCCUUUGGCCAGUUGGGGUCAGCUGUCCUGGCCGUGUCCCCUCCUCACUGGUGGUGGUGUGAGAAGCAGAAAAGGCCUUGAUGCUGUGUAAGCACUGCUCAGCAAUGACUAAAACAUCUCUGUAUUAUCAGUGCUGUUUUCAGCACAAAUCCAAAACAUAGCCCCAUACUAGGUACUGUGAAGAAAAUUAUCCUAGCCAAAACCAGCAUAAGGAUGUGGUGCAAAUAGGAGAUCUGCAGCAGCAAGGCUAGAUCAAAUUUAAUACUAGCUUCAGUACUUCUUAUUCAGGACAGGAAGAAAUAAACUGCUGUAGCAUGUCAGCAUUUAGAGUUUUCCUGUGGCUUCUCUUAACACUUAACAUGUAAUAAUGACUGGUUGUAGCAGGAAGGGUUUUCCUUUUCCAGCUAUGGUGAUAAGAACUCCAAUAUAAUACUUAUACUUUCUGGUUGUUUUGUAUACAAUGUAGAUAUGCUACUGGUUGCAUAAAACAAACAACAGUUUGUGAGCCUGAGUGUAGCAGGCAACAGUAUCUUUCAGUUGUUUACCAAAGUAUUACAAAAUCCAAUAUAAACAGUGACAAACCUACAGGAUCCCAGGAGAGUGUGAAGAGUGGAGAUCCAAUGUUGAAAUAAAUAGGACAGAAGUUUGUUUCCAUAGUGGUACACAUGGGGUUUGUCUAGCUUGGUAUCUUGGUCUCUUAGUGGCCAGCAGUGGAGGGUGAGCCCCAAGUAGAAAAAUGGGAUAAAAAGUAAGCAUCUUCAUUACGUAUCCUUCUGGCUUGUAGAGAUUUGAGCCCCUGAUAAUUAUUUAUUUAUUUAUUUUCCUUCUGAUCAAAUUUAUAUUACAGUCCCAUAGGAUUUUAGUGAUGGGACUGGCUCAGAGUCAGGGCAAGAAUGUUGUUUAUGGCUUUAUUUAAAUUUUUAUUUGAUUUUUUUUUUUUUAACCCAUUUUCUCUUGGCUGCUUGGUGGCGUGGCUGCCUCGGUAUUGGCGAAGCCAAACAGGCUCUUGGCUGGGACUGAGUCUGGUCAACAUGCAAGAGCCUGGGCCAUUGUGGUUACUAAAUUGAGAGGUUAAAGUUAUUCCUUUAAUGCUGGUGUAGUGUUUCAGUUGCAGCACUUCCGUGCUUGUCACCAGGGUUUAUUCAGAGGUCUCACACAAUUUGCUAGCUAUUGUGGAAACCUUGGGUGUAUUUCUUGACUGCAGGCUGAGGGUCACAGCUGACACAUUGGUGGAAAAGACAGAUUAUUGGGGAUUUAUUUCUGUGGAGAUAAGGGUGUACUAAUGCUAUUGUACAGUGCCUUGCUGGGCCCUUCCAUGGCAUGUGUUGUAUGGUUCUAGUUGUCUGUUUGCAAGGAAGGAAUUCAAGCUAGAACAGGUGCAGGGAAGGGCUGUGGUGUUUGGGGGGUUGGAAAGUCUGUCUGACCAGAGGAGACUGAAAGUUUCACUUGUUUAGUUUACAGUAUGAAGGCUGAGAGGGAAUAUGACUGCUGUCUAUAAAUACAUAAGGGGAUGAGCAUCAGGGAGGGGAAAGAACUAUUAGAGCUAAAGGGCAAGGUUAGCACAAGAACAAAUGUGUAUAAAACUGGCUGUGAGCAAAUUCAGGCUGGAUGUGAGAUGAAAGUUGCCUGUAGCAAGAACAUUAAGGGACUGGAAAAGCUCUUGGGAGAGGAAUAGAUAAGGACAAGGCAUCUGUUUGAUUUUAGGAUAGAUCUUGUGAUGAUUUUGAAUAGUUUAUAAGUAAUAUAGAAUAACAGGAUUAUGCACAGUGAUAGGGAAAGUUCAUUUCAGUCCUUCGUAUUGUAGAACAGGUAUGAUGUGCCUGAAACUGCUCUAACAAAAAUAUGAAUCAACACAAAUAUUUUAAAAAGUGUACUGGUUUUGGGCCUCAGAAAUCCCAAAGUGACUUACAGAGACUGUUCGUGCUGUGCCAGAGGAUCAUGUGCCUGGUACCUCUGGAUUAGAAUUAGCUGUUGCUUGUAUGCAUGUGUGAUCCAGCUCCCCUCAUGUUUAGUAGGUAGCAGGGUGAAUGGGGGAGAAUCUUUGCUGUCCCUGGAGUGGUGGCUCCUGUCUGAGGGCCAUUGCCUGAACUGGAGCUUGUCUGCAGUGGUGGGCUCUGGAUGGCUUAUUGGAGUUCUGGUGUCCUCUGGAUGCUGAAAGAAAUAUUCAUCAGUCCACAGGAUCCCUACCAACACCAGCCUGAUAGCUUCUCUUCCUUGUCUUAUUUGUGUGAUAUUCCUGCAAGUUGUCUUGAAAGCCAUUUGUGUCUCACCCUUUGAACUUCAGCAUGAAAAAUCACCUACUGACAGUCCCAUUGGUGGUGGGAUCUAGUUGCCUCUGACUUUGUCUUAAUUAAGUCAUUUUGUAAGCAGAGAAGGUUUAUGAAGCCUCAUUUCCUUUGGGUUUUUCUCCGUAGGUUUGCUGAUGUCUAAUGUUGUGGUUUUCCUCAUGCUGAAGUCUGUCUCUUGCUUGGUUACUGUAUUUGUAAGAGCAUAAUACCUUUGGGAUCUCUCCCUUCUCUACCAUGGUAGGUUGAAAUUUGCUAAAAUUGGUUAAAGAAUUAAGAGUUUACAGGGAAAGGAAACAAUACACGAAUCAUAGAUGAACAAUUUAGUAAUCUCUUCCUUAAAAAUAAGGUUGAAAAAUAUGUGAUAUUUAGUAAUAAAAAUACUUUUCUAACCUUCUAGUGUGUUCUUAGCAUUAAGUGCAGCCGUGUUAGCUUUUAGAGGACCAGUCAAGGCAGUCUGUUGCAGGGAGACUUUUUGUUUCACACAUGUGAUUCUGUUCUGGCAGCAUUCCUUUUGCAGCAGUUGCAUUUUGAGACUGAAAGGUAAGAUUUCUCGUGUGAUGGUAGGAUCGGCUUGUGGGUUCGCAGAGUAAUUUGGGUUGGAAAGGCCCUUGGGCUCAUCUAGUUCCAUCCACCAAAUAGUUGUUUGCAGUCAAGGCUUUCUGGUUUGUUUUCUAACAAAAUUUAUUGUCACAUAAGCGGUAAGUGUCCCCAUGUCAGAAGUGCCUAUGUGUAGCUGUUCCCAUAUACAUACUUUGGGAUGCCAGUGAUGACAGCAUAACAGUUUAUCUUUAUCUUAAAGAUACGUGAGCUGCCUCUGAGAUGAACCACCCGGGGCACUGGUGACAGUCCAGCGGAGGCUCAGCACAGUCUGGCUCGUCCUGCUGCUUGGCUGGCUCAGAGCUGCAGGUUUCUGAUGCUGGACUGUGCUCUGUGUGUUUGUGAGAAGCUGCCUCAUGUACUUGUAUCCCAUGUGCUGUCAGUGCUCUGGCUAUAUCAUUAAAUGCAGGAGGUGAUGUGUGGAACACGGUGGACGCACGUAGUCUCUGAUUUUCACCAAGUGAACAUUACCUCCUGGAAAUUGUUCAUUACUUUCUUCCUUGAACAGAUCUUUUUUUAUUUUUAACUAGACAAAACCUAUGUUCCUCAUUUGGUAUUGCUUUUGUGCCAAGUGUGAAACUUUAAAACAAAGCGACGUUUGAGUAUUCAAGAAUCAGAGCAAAGAGUCCCAGUUAUCAGAGCAUGGAAAGCAAGAUAAUUUUUUGUAGUGUGGCUGGGAGUUUAGCCAGAGGCAAUUAUAUGUAGGACUGGGCCCUGAAUUAAGUGUGAGAAAGAAAAUUUUCAUGCCCGGUAAUGCUUUUUCAUCUCCAAAAAUAGCUUUCUGGAGAGAAGUUUGUCGAAACAAUGAAAAAUGAGGUAGCAGAGCCCCAUCCUGCUGUACAGUUCUUGUGGUCCCGCUCACACGGCGGGAGGUGUGUACAGGUGCGGAGGCCGGCGGGUUCUCUUUGGGGUGUGGGAGCAUUGCGGGGUUCAGGGCAGCGUUACCACCUUGCCAGGGUAAGAGUGUUUGUGCCAGUCAGCUGGCGGUUGAGAAACUGGUAAUAGCAAAUGGAAAACCUAAAGUUGCUUCUACUCAGUGUAUUUUGAAAUGAUACUGUUUGAGUAAUAUCUGCAUUUACUAUGAAUUAUAUGUUAGAAAUCAGCUCUUUCUGCUAAUUGUCUUAGUUCUAACAGACAUAUAAAGAACUAUAUUCCAUUAAAAGGCAGUAUUUUUGCCUCAUUUUGCCAUGGCUCUCCAUUUGACUAAUAUCCAGUGACAUAGUAAUGUUUGGUGUAAUUGGAAAUCUUAUGGCAAAUGGAGGCAUCACUGCUUAUGCAGUGAUGUGGAACAAAUGGCUGCGUUUAACAGCUUAGGAGAACUUCAUGUCUCACUAUUGGGAGCUUAAAUAAAGGGAUGCUGCUUGUUCAGCGCUAUUUGAAGCUGAAUGUUACAGGCUUUUACUGAUGUAUACCCAUCACCAAAGUUGUAGGAUGGAGCCAGAUCUGUUAAGAAUACAGUUUCUUUAACUUUAUAAAUUUAAACAGCUCUAGCUUUCACAUUGGAAUAAAAAAGUUUUGGAGGGAAUCCCAUUUGCUUAUAGCUAAGGGAGUUGGUCCUGUUGCAUCAACUUACUUAAACCAAUACUCCUCAAGAGGCAACGUAUCAGCGUGUGUUCUUAUCUGCUUAACUGGAGUGCUGUGGAGGGAGCGAUCCUUGGGCAGAUGCUGGGGUACAUUUGUCGCUUUUUAAAUUAAGACCCUGGAGAAGAUAGCUGUGUACCUUGUUCACCUCUGAGCCCUCAGAGGAGCACUGCAGGGCUGUACCCUGAGGAAGGACCGGUGCCAUUGGUGUGCUGCUGUUAUGUGCCUGGCUGAACUGGUGACCUCCAAAAGGAAUUUCUCUCACAAUGAUGGAAAGCUGAAACUGCACAGAGGUUUUAGGAGGUACCUGUUCUUGGAAUAUUUGCUUUUCUUUUGUCUGUCUGGCUAAAGCUUUUAUUCCGGGCCUGCAUAGAUGUCUUUCCUGGUAGUCUACUGUCCACCUUUUCUACCUUCUGUCCCUUUAGGUCUUUAAAAAGUUGUUACCUGUGUAAUGUUGCUGAACUGAAUAAGUUAUGUGAAUAAGUCUGCUUGUGAAAGACUCCACCAGCUCCAGCACUCUUCAAGAUCAGAGCUUUCUUGUUGGCUUUAAAGAGCUCUGCUUCUUUCUUCGUAUUGCUUGGGUCCCAUUCUCUCUAUGCAAUUUCAUCCGUUUCCUUCUGGAAUUUCCUGUUCUAGUAAGCCAGCUUACAAUUAAUGAGAAGCUUUUCCCAAGCAGGAGGUCACGUGUGGAGAAGAGUGCGGUGGUUCUUGUUUGAAAAUGUUCUUCUGGAGGUGGUGUGAUGGGAACUGGCACUACAGAUGAAUGGGAAGGCAGGAGCCGACAUCUCAGGCCAAACCCAUAAGAACAAGAGUUGGUUACUUAUCUCGGUGGUACCUCUGGUAUGAAACUUAAGUCAUGUGAAAUGUGGUGUGAGGGUGGCUUGCUGACUUUUUCGUCUAUGGAAAGCAGGUUUCUAAUUGGGGUAAGGUAAGCACAGGCAAAGAGGCUGAGGACAGGGCUGUGUGAUGGUGUUCAUCAGGGUGGGAGGUGAGCCAGGAAAAACUUCUGGGAGUUCAAGGAGAUGACUUGAGUCUGUUUAUCACAUCUUCUGGGAGGAUAGAAAUGAACUGUGUUAUUGGGAUUGCUUUCUGGGGAUCAGAAGGGCACUUCUCACAGGGAGAGCAGCAUUUCUGUUAAGUGAAUGUAUGCCAGAAAAACGGCUCUGCAGACAAACUUGGCUGAGCAGCAACUAAAACAAAAAUGCUCUAAAAGCUGCCCUUUUUAAUCAGGAAAGGUGUGGUAGGGUUGGGACAAUGGGAAAUCUGGUACUUAAUUAAUAGCCAGAUCCUGCUGCCAUUGAAAUCAGCCAAACUCAGACUGACCCUGCCUGCUGCAAUGUGCUGCUUCAAGUAUGCCCAUGAGCAGGCCCUCCGGAGAUGCGAUGUUAUUUUGGAUUAGCACCACAGCUGAGGUGGGAAGCAUCUGUCUUUUUUUUAGUUUUAACGUUUGAAAUGCUUGUGAUAACAUCUAUGCUUACGUUAUUUGUAUGCAUGUUUAAUAAAGAUUAAUUCACAUUUGAAUUUUCUUUUUUAAGGAAAUUUUGGUCUGGGAGAUAUUCCUUUGGGGCUAACCUUUAAUAAUAGGUAAUCAGGGGAUAACUGAUGUUGUUUACUCUUUUGUUACAGUAGUCGGAGUAUGUGAUUGAAAUUUGAUUUUCACACUCCCUCUAUUUGAAGCUUUUGAAUUUGUAUUUCCUUGUGAUAGUUUUGGUGGUUUUGAAGUAAAAACACACCAGUAGUCUUAUAAGUAAAUUAAAUUUGAACUUGUGUCAGAAGUUUUGGCUUCCACACCAAUUACUGCGGCAUUGUGUGAGUGUGGCAUUUUUGAAAGAUGCUGUUUUGUAUAAAGCUUUUACAAAACAGAAGAUGGAAAAAACCAUCUUGGGCUAUUACUGUUUUUGUAUUGCCACAGGCAUUGAUAGAAGACCAACCCAAGCCCUCUCUGGUUGUUUGCAGUCUGGCUAGUGUGUACCAGUUUCCCACCUGUGAUCUCUGGGCCGUGUAGAACUUGUAUCACUGUUCAGGGAGCUAUAAAGGAUAAUGUGAAGUGAGGCUGUUGCCCGUGGGCUUACACAUGCUCUCUGGAGAUCCACAUCCUUCCUAGAAAGGAUGUAGGUGCCUGUACAUUUCAGAAGCUUGAAAACUAUCGCAUAUGAAUCUAAGGGUGAGACAGUCCUUUUCUAGCAGAUGAGAAAAAUGCUUAUGUCUUUCUAGAUUUUACUGUGCGGUAUGCAAUACUGUACUUCUAAGAAAAAUGUCAGAGUUCCUAGUUCUGAUGUUAUUCCUUUGUUUGAUUUGAAAUCUUGAAUCAGAUUAAGCCCUAACACUGUUCCAGAAGAAGUGCUUUAUUCAUAAAAAUUUAUUUCAGUGCAGGAGGAACUGGUUGGGAUUUCAUGAACUGUAUUACAUAGGUUAUCAGAUUAACUGACCUGAUGAACUGCUUCUGCCUCUAAAAAUUUGUUAUUGGUGCAAAUAAUGUAAAGAGAUUGUGGUUUUUGCUGGCUGUGUUCUUCAAAAUAAUGUAGCUUGAUGACUAAUAAUGCUGUUUUCAGUCAACUCUUUCUUCCCUUAUCCUUGCUGUUUCCUUUGCCCUUUCCAGAUCAGUGAUGUGAGAAGGAUGUUCCCUCUGCUUCCAGACAAUACUCGUUUUGGCAUCCUGUGUUCAGCUCUUGAUUAUUUUGGAGGAAACUUAAAAUCUCAUUUGACUCUAAUAGAAUCAUUAUAGGUAUAAAUGUCUGUGAGGAAAGCAGUUGACUGACCAACAUUGCAGUCGGGACUGUGAUUUGGAAUUAAAGUUUCAGUCACAUAGGCGUGUCCUUGUGCAGAAUGUUAUUUGCUUGGGUCAUUGCUGGAUGAUCUGUUGGGGGGGUUGUGUCAUCAUAUUUUAAAGGAUUACUGUUCUGUAGCAAAUAGAGCUGAGAACGAGGUGUUUAGGAGAGCUCAUCAGCAGAUACUUAGUUGUCCCAGGACCUGCAGCAGGGUCCACAUUCUUGCAAGAACUUGAGGUGCAUCCAGUUCCUUUGAAUUGAGGGCUGAGGCCAGGCAGGCAGAGAGGUGGAGAUUGAACCCAGCAAGGCUGAGAGGGGACCUUUGCCACAACAUCAUCUUCUCUUCCUCACUGACAGGUUCAGUAUUUGUGGAUGAUGCUUAUGGAUAUUGUUUUAGUCUUUGUGCCUGUCUGUGUUUAAUCACUGCUGUUCAGUGCUCAUUUUGGGAACAGUUGCAUACCUGUGAGGUGGAUCUUAUUUUUUUCCUUUUAUCUAGGAUCAAAAGAUUAAAAGGAAACUUGAAAAGCAUACGUUCUUCAUUUGACUUGCACAACUAAUUUUCUCCUUAGUGCAGUGAGCUCCAGCUUUCUGCUGAAAGUGGGUUUGUGCUCAGGCACCAGGAGUCUGCAAGGGGAGAGUCGGGGAGAUUAGUGUUCUAUUCCAGGGGAGCUGUAAUCUCCUGGGUUUUUUUAAUGCUAUUUUGUUAAUAAUGAACAAUAAGUGAUCUGUCUGUACUACGGAUCGUUGAGCCUCAUUUGUUAGUCUCUAGGCCUUGUGGGUCUUGGACUGUGGUGAUGGCCCAUGCCCUGUAUAAAGUUUUUCAGAAGGAACUGUAUUUGUCUAGAAUACUUGGGUUGGAGCAUUUAAUGGAUUCUUUCAAUGCAGAUAAUGCUGUUUUUCUGAUGUCUACAGCCUUCAGUAGAACUAAUCUGUGUAUAAAACUUCCUGGAAGUUCUGGUUGUUGGGUGGAACUCCCUGCUUCUCCCCUUAUUUUGCAGGAUCUGAUGUAGAAAUACUUAAUGCGUGGUUUUCCCUACAUGUACCGUAAAUAGUUGGUUUGGAGAUUCACUGCUUUUCUGAUUGGCAUAGUUAAUGAUACAUCUGUCCUGAAAUUCUUUGAUGCUACAUCAAAAGAAAAAAAUAUUUUGGAAGGAUAAGAUUAAUAUUAAUUUUAAAAUUCUGUACUGCUUUUCAUCCAGAAGGAUCUGGAAUUACUUUUUGAACCAACCAAAUGGCUAAACCCAUCAUUGAAGUGUGCUGCUUUCACUUGCUUGAACAAUAAACUUGGCAGAAAUGUGUUACUUUCAUCAAGGGAAGUGGAUUGCCUUAAAUAUUGAUGCUAUGUUCUUUUGUCACCAGACAUUAAGGCAGAGGCUGUAUUUAGUUCCUAGUUGACAGAGAAAGUAGCAAGGCAAUUCUACAGGGAAGAUCUGGCAAUGGCGUAUUGAGUUUUAUUAUUCUUUGUGCUCUGAACUAGUCACCGGGCUGCCAAUGAAGUGUGGACCAGGCCUGGAAGCUCAGCUUGCAGCACAUCGAAUGGAGCUUCCAAGAGAAGAGUGGGAGAAUGACUUUCCUCUCUGGCAGCUCUGACCCCGUGGCUGUGCUGAGGGUCAGCCCUGCUGAGCCCAGCUGAGCAGCAUCCCUGUUUCAGUUGGGCUGGUCCCAAUGGCCACGUAUUCCUGCCUGAUGUCCUUCCCCAGUGUUCUCCAAACCUUGCUUAUUUAAAAAACAAAAA